GACGAACGCUGGCGGCGUGCUUAACACAUGCAAGUCGAACGGUAAGGCCCUUCGGGGUACACGAGUGGCGAACGGGUGAGUAACACGUGGGUAAUCUGCCCUGCACAUCGGGAUAAGCCUGGGAAACUGGGUCUAAUACCGAAUAGGACCACAGAACACAUGUCCUGUGGUGGAAAGCUUUUGCGGUGUGGGAUGGGCCCGCGGCCUAUCAGCUUGUUGGUGGGGUGAUGGCCCACCAAGGCGACGACGGGUAGCCGGCCUGAGAGGGUGUCCGGCCACACUGGGACUGAGAUACGGCCCAGACUCCUACGGGAGGCAGCAGUGGGGAAUAUUGCACAAUGGGCGAAAGCCUGAUGCAGCGACGCCGCGUGGGGGAUGACGGCCUUCGGGUUGUAAACCUCUUUCACCAUCGACGAAGGUCCGGGUUUUCUCGGGUUGACGGUAGGUGGAGAAGAAGCACCGGCCAACUACGUGCCAGCAGCCGCGGUAAUACGUAGGGUGCGAGCGUUGUCCGGAAUUACUGGGCGUAAAGAGCUCGUAGGUGGUUUGUCGCGUUGUUCGUGAAAUCUCACGGCUUAACUGUGAGCGUGCGGGCGAUACGGGCAGACUUGAGUACUGCAGGGGAGACUGGAAUUCCUGGUGUAGCGGUGGAAUGCGCAGAUAUCAGGAGGAACACCGGUGGCGAAGGCGGGUCUCUGGGCAGUAACUGACGCUGAGGAGCGAAAGCGUGGGGAGCGAACAGGAUUAGAUACCCUGGUAGUCCACGCCGUAAACGGUGGGUACUAGGUGUGGGUUUCCUUCCUUGGGAUCCGUGCCGUAGCUAACGCAUUAAGUACCCCGCCUGGGGAGUACGGCCGCAAGGCUAAAACUCAAAGAAAUUGACGGGGGCCCGCACAAGCGGCGGAGCAUGUGGAUUAAUUCGAUGCAACGCGAAGAACCUUACCUGGGUUUGACAUGCACAGGACGCCGGCAGAGAUGUCGGUUCCCUUGUGGCCUGUGUGCAGGUGGUGCAUGGCUGUCGUCAGCUCGUGUCGUGAGAUGUUGGGUUAAGUCCCGCAACGAGCGCAACCCUUGUCUCAUGUUGCCAGCGGGUAAUGCCGGGGACUCGUGAGAGACUGCCGGGGUCAACUCGGAGGAAGGUGGGGAUGACGUCAAGUCAUCAUGCCCCUUAUGUCCAGGGCUUCACACAUGCUACAAUGGCCGGUACAAAGGGCUGCGAUGCCGCGAGGUUAAGCGAAUCCUUUUAAAGCCGGUCUCAGUUCGGAUCGGGGUCUGCAACUCGACCCCGUGAAGUCGGAGUCGCUAGUAAUCGCAGAUCAGCAACGCUGCGGUGAAUACGUUCCCGGGCCUUGUACACACCGCCCGUCACGUCAUGAAAGUCGGUAACACCCGAAGCCAGUGGCCUAACCCUUUGGGAGGGAGCUGUCGAAGGUGGGAUCGGCGAU
rnacentral:rRNA from 1 species